rnacentral:rRNA from 1 species
UCCAGACUCCUACGGGAGGCAGCAGUGGGGAAUAUUGCACAAUGGGGGAAACCCUGAUGCAGCGACGCCGCGUGAGUGAAGAAGUAUUUCGGUAUGUAAAGCUCUAUCAGCAGGGAAGAAAAUGACGGUACCUGACUAAGAAGCCCCGGCUAACUACGUGCCAGCAGCCGCGGUAAUACGUAGGGGGCAAGCGUUAUCCGGAUUUACUGGGUGUAAAGGGAGCGUAGACGGCAUGGCAAGUCAGAUGUGAAAGCCCGGGGCUCAACCCCGGGACUGCAUUUGAAACUGUCAGGCUGGAGUGCAGGAGAGGUAAGUGGAAUUCCUAGUGUAGCGGUGAAAUGCGUAGAUAUCAGGAGGAACACCGGUGGCGAAGGCGGCCUGCUGGACUGCAACUGACGUUGAGGCCCGAAAGCGUGGGGAGCAAACAGGAUUAGAUACCCUAGUA